rnacentral:lncRNA from 1 species
CUUAAUGAUUUUAGCACCAUCAUCAUUUACCAUGCUACCUUCAUUUGUUUCACUGAGCCCUUUUCCAACAUCUCCAGUGCCUCCCCUAGCUGAUUUUCCGGAGUUUAGGGAAAGAUUAGCUGAGAAAAGUGAGGGAAAUUCAUCGACCCUAAAGAAAAAUUCAUCAACGACUACACCAGGUAAUGAAAAAGAUGGUAAUAAUACUGGAAUAAAAUCAGCAACUUCUUUAAGCGUGGAUACAACUUCAAGAUUUGAUGUCGUCCCUGAUUCUAAUUUGGGAUCUACACAUUUGUGGUUGCAGAGUGAAGUUCCCUUAGGGUAAAUAAGUACAUAAUGAUAUCUAUAUCUAUAAAUUAGCAGCAAUUGUUAAUUUUUUUACAAAAAAUGCUCUAGCUACUGGGACUCAUAUCUUAUGCAAUUUUGUGGUCUUCUUCUAUCAGGUGCGUGCCUGCUCAAUCAAGUGCCACCAUUAAACUACAACUGCUUCCUUUGACUGAUGGGAUAAUUUCUCUAGACACUCUGCAAGUAAAAAUUCAAGAGAAAGGUACUAUUCUAGAUCUCAACAGUUUUUGUGCCACUUUGGCUGAUUAUGUCUAUUUUCAGAUAGCUUUUGUUGUGUUUUUUAGAUCAUAAUAUAACAUCAGUUUAUGAUUACAGUCUAAAUAUACAGUAAAAAAGAAACUAAUGGUAUGCUUUCUGACAAAGCAGGUGUUAUAUAUACACCAGGACAUUCUCUAAAGAUUCAUACAACUAGCAGCAUUGCAACUGCCAUUGCUUAGAACACACUUCACUGGAUUUCUCUUUGAUUUUCAGUGUAAGCUUCAUUCACGACUUUCCAAUUUCUCUUACAUGCCGAAGCAAAGUCCGGCUGCCUGAAGAAGAGCACACGGAAUCCAUGUGUAGACGACGACGUAUUUUCUCCCAGUGUGUACUUCUCUGGCCGUGAAUAGAAUGAUUUACCUCUCAUACACAACAAAAGUUGUUUGAGGUUUGAAGUAUUUAAAAUUUGAGUGUAUCUAUGUCCUUAUUUUCUAUUUAUUUUAUAAAAAAUCUCAGGAUUGAAUUAAUUGAAAGUUUGAAAUAUUGGAUUACAUGAUUGGAUUAAUUGAAAGUUUGAAAUAUUGGAUUACGUAAUUGAAUUAAGCAGUGAUUAGUCACAGGAAAGCAAGUCUUUGGUGGAGGAAGAAAGAAAUCAUGGUAAUGAGUUUUGGUCUUUACUUGAGGAAUUUAGAGCAACAAAUAAUGGGUAAUCAGAAUUUGCAGAAAAAUCUGAAAAACCCCUCUUCCCAUUUUUUGAUCACUUCAUCUCCCUCAUUAUAUAUAUAGUACUUACUGUCUUCCUUUGUGAGAACAAUAAAUGCGAAAAUGUGUGAAAAUCAAUGUAGACUUAUGCUUGAUGUUUUUAAAGGUAUCUAUUUGAUUUAAUGACUUACUAUUUAUAAUAAGAAAACUUUUCAUAUUCUUCUUAUUUAAUGAAAUUCAAACUCUAAGAUUUUUAAAAGUUCAAGAUUUAAGUCUCCAUGUAUGUCUAUUUUCAUUAAAUUUUGACUGUAAUAUAACCAGUGACAUAAUUUUAGGUCACAUCAUAAUAAAAUUUUUAAAAAAAUAUAUAUAUAAAAAGAUUCAAAUUCUGAACUUUCAGAAACCUUAACAGUUAUUAUUGUGAUUAGUUGUUCUAAUCUUCCUAUGUAUAAUGUAAACAUUUUUACAUUUUAUGGAAAGUUAUUCUUUCUUAUAAAAAAAAACUCUACCAGUGUUCCGUCUUACUCUCCCUUGUGGGCUGUGGCCCGUGGGCCUGUAAAUUAAAAUGAAAUUACGAAUUUAUUUCUUACCUAAAUGAAACUUUCAACCGUUUCAUUCCAUUUACUACAUCCAUCAAGAAAAAAACAAAACGAAAAAGAAAAUCACAAACAAAGCCACUCAUAAGUCAUAGUACUCAGUGUUUAGCUGUGCUGGGGAGAAGGACCUUUGGGCAUGCCAGGGCGGUGCGGUCCUCUUAAACCUCUUGCCUCCACGUUGAACAGAUUGCUAUUUUCGUCAUCCUGUCCAUUAGAGCCAACAGUAAACCAUGCUUCUUUUGAAAAAACAAAACAACAAACAUGUUUCUUACUUACCUGCAUAGAUCUGUUUUUGUUGUUGGGUUCAUCUUCUUUUUCUCCAUUCUCAUACCCUGUAAACAGACAAUAACCAACAUGAAAUCAAAGAAAAGAGAGCGGGUUGUUAGCUUCUAUGCUGGAAAAGUGUUUGCUUACCUUGGUUGGUUCUUCCAGGAGACUUCUUGCAAAAAUUUAAAACACCAAAAAAGUUUAGAAAAAUCUGCUUAAGCUGCUCGAGAAGUUUGGCCAUAGAUGAUAAGUUUACAAUACUUCUCUUCUCUUGAAUUCCACUGGUCAUGUGGUUUAUUUAUAUAGGUGCAGCAGAACCAUGAAUCAUCUCCAUGUGAG